rnacentral:rRNA from 1 species
AGUGAACGCUGGCGGCAGGCUUAACACAUGCAAGUCGAACGGCAGCGCGGGCUUAGGCCUCGCGGCGGGUGGCCGAGGGGCGAGUGAUGCAGCGGAACGUGGCCAUCUGCUGGGUCUAGGGCGGCAACGGCGGGAAACAUACCGCAAAAGCCCAUAGGGUGUACGGGGGGAAGCGGAAGGCCUUGGGCCCUUGCGGCGGCCGAUGUCGGAUUAGCUAGUUGGUGGGGUAAAGGCUUACCAAGGCGACGAUCCGUAGCUGGUCUGAGAGGACGACCAGCCACACUGGGACUGAGACACGGCCCAGACUCCUACGGGAGGCAGCAGUGGGGAAUUUUGGACAAUGGGGGCAACCCUGAUCCAGCCAUGCCGCGUGCGUGAAGAAGGCCUUCGGGUUGUAAACCGCUUUUGUUCGGGAAGAAAACCUGUGGGCUAAUACCCCGGGGUGAUGACGGUACCGGAAGAAUAAGCACCGGCUAACUUCGUG